UUUUCAUUGACACCGGUCCUCAAUUUCAAUGAGAAUCGUGACUGGUGAGGAGGAAGGAGGUCGAAUCGUGGACUGGGGGUCUCCGGAGGUGGAGGCGGAUCUGGUUCAAAUAACUGAAGGGGACGGAAGCGGUGCUGGAGGAGUUGGAGGAGGAUCUGGUUUGCGUGGGAGGGGAAUUCGAUAGCACUAGCAGCGUGGCUGCUACGGACGACGACCACUCAUCGUUCAAUGGUAAAGGCGGCACUGCUGGUCGAAACUAUUGUUUUCGCCUUUGUUGGUGAAAUGGGCGGCAGAUCAGAGCGAAGGUGGCUGGAGGUGGCUUCUCCGGUGGUUGCUGGAGCUAGUUCUCAACGGGAUGGGGAAGAGGCAACGGUUUAUUUCCUUCCUUAGCUGUGACGAUUUUGGAAGGGAUAUCUAAGGUAAAGGAGUUUUGCAGAGAGACAUAGUGGGAGAGAGAGAGAGAGAAGAAAGAAGAAUAGAUG
rnacentral:lncRNA from 1 species